rnacentral:rRNA from 1 species
UGGGGAAUAUUGGACAAUGGGCGCAAGCCUGAUCCAGCCAUGCCGCGUGAGUGAUGAAGGCCCUAGGGUUGUAAAGCUCUUUCACCGGUGAAGAUAAUGACGGUAACUGGAGAAGAAGCCCCGGCUAACUUCGUGCCAGCAGCCGCGGUAAUACGAAGGGGGCUAGCGUUGUUCGGAUUUACUGGGCGUAAAGCGCACGUAGGCGGACUUUUAAGUCAGGGGUGAAAUCCCGGGGCUUAACCCCGGAACUGCCUUUGAUACUGGGAGUCUUGAGUAUGGUAGAGGUGAGUGGAAUUCCGAGUGUAGAGGUGAAAUUCGUAGAUAUUCGGAAGAACACCAGUGGCGAAGGCGGCUCACUGGACCAUUACUGACGCUGAGGUGCGAAAGCGUGGGGAGCAAACAGG